GAAUUUUGGACAAUGGGCGAAAGCCUGAUCCAGCAAUGCCGCGUGCAGGAUGAAGGCCUUCGGGUUGUAAACUGCUUUUGUACGGAACGAAAAGCUUUGGGUUAAUACCCUGGAGUCAUGACGGUACCGUAAGAAUAAGCACCGGCUAACUACGUGCCAGCAGCCGCGGUAAUCCGGGGGGUGAAAGCGUGAAGCGGAAUUACUGGGCGUAAAGCGUGGGCAGGCGGUUUUGUAAGACAGGGGGGAAAGCCCCGGGCUCAACCUGGGAACUGCCUUUGUGACUGCAAGGCUAGAGUACGGCAGGGGGGGGUGGAAUUCCGCGUGUAGCAGUGAUAUGCGUAGAUAUGCGGAGGAACACCGAUGGCGAAGGCAACCCCCUGGGCCUGUACUGACGCUCAUGCACGAAAGCGUGGGGAGCAAAC
rnacentral:rRNA from 1 species